AGCAGCCGCGGUAAUUCCAGCUCCAAUAGCGUAUAUUAAAGUUGUUGCAGUUAAAAAGCUCGUAGUUGAAUUUCGGGAUCAGUUGGUCGGUCGUGCCUCGGUACGUACUGGUCAAAUUGAUUCCUACCUUCUGACGAACCACGAUGUCAUUAAUUUGGUGUCGCGGGAAAUCAGGACUGUUACUUUGAAAAAAUUAGAGUGUUUAAAGCAGGCUCGCGCUUGAAUACAUUAGCAUGGAAUAAUGAAAUAGGACGUUUGAUUCUAUUUUGUUGGUUUCUAGGAUCGACGUAAUGAUUAAUAGGGAUAGUUGGGGGCAUUAGUAUUCAAUUGUCAGAGGUGAAAUUCUUGGAUUUAUUGAAGACUAACUACUGCGAAAGCAUUUGCCAAGGAUGUUUUCAUUAAUCAAGAACGAAAGAUUNGGGGAUCGAANACGAUCAGAUACCGUCGUAGUCUU
rnacentral:rRNA from 1 species